GAGGUAAGCAAUGCAUCAUAUGGGGCACUCUCAGAUUAUCAGUUCUUGCGCCCAAGAGCUCGUGACAAGAGGCUUCACCAGGAAUGGGUUGUCCCGUUGAAAAGCAUCGAAGAUGUUCAGGAAAAAUUCAAGGAGUACU